AAAGGAAUUGACGGGGGCCCGCACAAGCGGUGGAGCAUGUGGUUUAAUUCGAUGAUACGCGAGGAACCUUACCAGGGCUUAAAUGUAGUCUGGACAGCUUUAGGAGAUAGAGUUUUCUUCGGACAGAUUACAAGGUGCUGCAUGGUUGUCGUCAGCUCGUGCCGUGAGGUGUCAGGUUAAGUCCUAUAACGAGCGCAACCCCUGUCGUUAGUUGCCAGCAAGUAAAGUUGGGGACUCUAACGAGACUGCCUACGCAAGUAGAGAGGAAGGUGGGGAUGACGUCAAAUCAUCACGGCCCUUACGUCCUGGGCCACACACGUGCUACAAUGGUAUGGACAAUGAGCAGCCAUCUGGCAACAGAG
rnacentral:rRNA from 1 species